rnacentral:pre_miRNA from 1 species
UGACUGUUUAAUCUCUGCAGGCAACUGUGAUGGUGAUUUUUAUUCUCACAAUCACCUGGAGAGAUUCUGCAGUUUAU